rnacentral:rRNA from 1 species
CCCCUUGAGAGUGGCGAACGGGUGAGUAAUAUAUCGGAACGUGCCCAGUCGUGGGGGAUAACGUAGCGAAAGUUACGCUAAUACCGCAUACGAUCUAAGGAUGAAAGCGGGGGACCUUCGGGCCUCGCGCGAUUGGAGCGGCCGAUGUUAGAUUAGGUAGUUGGUGGGGUAAAAGCCUACCAAGGCUACGAUCAGUAGCUGGUCUGAGAGGACGACCAGCCACACUGGGACUGAGACACGGCCCAGACUCC